GGGAGCGGCCAGGGCACUGGUUCCUGUGAGCCGGGUGGAGGAGGGCGGGGGCUAGGGCUGCGCAGGCGGAAGAGCGAGCCGGGAAGAGCGGAAAAUCUGCCGGUGCUGCAAUUGCCCGAGUUCUGCGUGCUUCCGUAGCUGCCUAUUCGGGGUAGAGCGGAGCCGAACUGCGCUCCAGUGCACAAGAACCGUGGUGUCCCCUCCCACCCCCGGUAGGAAGCCAGUCCUGAAUCGGGAGGCGUGGUAGCCACCGACACCUAACGCCACUCUCCGGAGUGAUUUCCUGCGGCCUCAAGAGAGCACCGAAGGGGAGCUUAAGGAAUGUACUCGGCACAAGCAGGCCUGUCACAGGGGCAGCCCCUCCCGAACUCGGUGACGUGAAUCUUGGAAGCGGACAGCUCCAGCCUGAAGUCUCUCAGGGUACACAGCAGCUUAGCGCACACAGCCAGAGGUAACCCAAGAAGCUCCCUUAGAACACCAGGUUGUCCUCAGAAUUCACUCUCCACCGUGGGACAAGAAAAAAGUUGAGGGUAGUAGACCUCAAACACCAGAAAGAAACGGUAAGGUCUUUGCAUGCUCUGAGUCCAGUUACACCGAACACAAAUCCAUCACCCCUAAAGAAAAUGAGCAAUCCAACAAGCAGCUCUCUGACAAGACCCAUGUAAUACGGUAUUGCUGCCCUGGGUAAGAAGUAAGAGCAUAAGCAGGUGCAUUUCCUGCCAAUAAAGGAAUGAAAAGACCCACAAAGAAAACUGAAGACACUUGUAUAGAAGAGAUCAACCAUCUCAGAAAGCAAAAUGAGUAAAGGUUGGGAAUCAAUACAGCAGAACAAAGCUGAAGCCUAAGUCCUGGAAUCAGGAAAGCCAGCAAGAAGCAAGCCGAUUCCUGCCACAGACUCCCAUCAGCUCAGGAAUAAGAGGCACCUGGUCCUCAGAGCCGGGAGAGACUGAAAACAUAAAAUAGCUGUGAAUCUUUAAAAUGCACAUCUGAGCACCCUUAUAUGCCUCACUAAACGAGGCCUGGUGACUACCCCCACCCCGCUGGCAGCCUGAAAGAAAACCAGAGUGAAAAUUUACCCCCAAGAUAAAACUGAAGAGGGCUUGACCUCAGGGACACCAGAUAAGACAUAAAGGCCAAGAGUAAAUUCAGUAGAGAUGGAAUAAAGCUGAGGAAACCACCCAAAAAUGAUAAAGAAGCAGUUUGAGCAAAGACCAUUAGAAGAUCAGCCUGGACGAUCAAAAGGAAUGAAAUCUUGCCAUUUGCAACACUGUGGAUGGAACUAGAGUAUAUUAUGCUAAGCAAAAUAAGUCACGCAGAGAAAGACAAACACCAUAUGAUUUCACUCACGUGUAAUUUAAGAAACAACAGAUGAACAUAGGGUAAGGAAAGGAAAAGUGAGAUUAAAACACAGAGGGAGGCAAACCAUAAAAGACUCUAAAAUACAGAGAAUAGAGGGUUGCUGGAGGGGUGGGGGAUGGGCUAAAUGGGUGAUGGGCAUUGAGGAGGGCACUUGUUUGGAUGAGCACUGGGUGUUCUAUAUAAGUGAUGAAUCACUAAAUUCUACUCCUGAAACCAAUACUACACUGUAUGUUAACUAACUUGAAUUAAAAAAAAAAAAAAAAGAACAUUAGCCUGGAAGUCUAAUACCCAAUUAGAUGUUUUAAGACAAAGAGAAACAACAGCAAUAGUGAAAAGGAGUUACCAGAUAAUUUUAGCAAACAUUCCACAACCCAAAACUAUGUGUUUCCAGACCAAAAAAACCACAGAGGUCCAGAACAAUAACACAUUACCAUCAAAGAGGUAAUCAUUUAAAAACCUUCCUACAGAAGCACCACUCCAGACAGAUUUGCUAUCAGAUUUCAUCAAACACCUCAGGAACAAAAAAACUCCAACCUUAAGACCAUUCCAGAGUUGGUUUCUUUUCUCCUUAGCUUGCAGAUGGCUACCUCCCGCUGCAGUCCUCAGGUAGUCUCCAUGCACAUCCCCGCUGUCGCUCUAGCCUCUCCUUAUAAAGGUUCCAGUCAGCUGGGUUUAAGGCCCAUCCCACCAGCCUCAUUUUAAUUUAAUUACCUCUUUAAAGGCCCAGUCUCCGUAGAAGCUUUCAGAGGUACUGGGAGUUAGUGCUUGAACACAUAACCUUGGGGAUGGGAAGACAAAGCCACCCCAUAACAACAUUCGUGGAGUACAACCUAAGAACAAAAAGAAAUUUAUUCAGAUUGAUGAAAAUGUACAGCGAACAUAUUCAGUGUUGAAACAUGAAAAAACCUUUGGUCAAGAGAAUAAACUAGUGGUUGACAGAGGGAAGGGAGGUGGAGGGAUGGGACAAAUAGGAGGAGAUUAAAUGAUACGCACUUCAGUUAUAAAAUAAAUAAGUCACAAGGAUGUAAAGUAUAACAUAGGGAAUACAGUCAAUAAUAUCGUAAUAAUUUUGUAUGGUGAUAGAGGGUAACUAGACCUAUCAUAGUAUCAUUUCGUGAUAUAUAAAAAAUUUGAGUCACCAUCUUGUACACCUGAAACUAAUACAAUACUGUAUGUCAACUAGAGACACCUGGGUGGCUCAGUCAGUUAAGCGUCUGACUUCAGCUCAGGUCAUGAUCUCGGAGUUCGUGGGUUUGAGCCCCCAUUGAGCUCUGCGGUAACAGUGUGGAGCCUGCUUUGGAUCCUCUGACUCCUUCUCUCUCUGCCCCUCCCCCACUCUCUCACGCAAUACUGAAUAAACAUUAAACAAAUUUUUAAAAAUACUGGUAUGUCAAUUAAAGUUCAAUAUUUUUAAAGCCUUUGCUUUAAAGUCAAGGGGUCCAAAGAGCAAUGGCUAACUUACAACACCAUAAUCACAUGCUGUGGGAUAGCUGUUUUAUAGAAUUCUGAUCCAGUGAGCUAAACGCGUAAAAUAAAGCUUUGGCAACAGAUCUAAGUUUCUAUCCCGGGCACUUUAUGACCUACGUGACCUUGAGAAAGCUACUUAACCUCUGAGACUCAAUUUCUCCACUCUUAAAAUGGAGAUAAAAUAUAGGUAACUGCCUAAAAGUUGUGAGGAUUUAAUGACAAUGCAGGGAACUCUCAGGUACUGGCUGUUCUUCAUCUCUGUGCUGAAAGCUUCGUCAGGGACGUUGAGUAUUUCAAAGACCAUGCUUUUGACUUAGUCUGGAAAAGUGGAAGAAUUCUUCUUCCACCACCAACACUACCUAGGAUCUCAGAAAAAUACUCAACUUUGUAAUGACAACAAUGCCCUUUUAAAAGUGUUGGCGAAAUGAAAUAAACUAAGCAAAAGGGUAAACUGAAGAGAGUGAAAAGACGAAAUGGCUUUUGUCGAUUGUUCUGUGGCUUUCACGUGUGACCCAAAAUAGAAUCAAAAGAAUGUGUGGGCAGUCCAGUGAAAGCAGCCUGGCUUUGUGUGCCACUAAGCUCCGUAUUUUGUGCCAUCUACGUGAAAGCAGGCGAGGGUAUCAGGAAACAGCUAAAGUGAGUGAUUAACUAUUACAUUUCCUGGACAUGUUUCAUUUGGCUGUGUGACUCCGGCGCCCACUUGCAUUGGUGAAAACCACCCCUGCACUCCGUCAGGUGAGCAAAAGCUUGUGUGUUACAUAGUGGACACAAGACCACGUCUCCGUGUGAUAGAGGCCCAGGCAACAGAAGCAUAGGGUCACGUCACUUUGUAGCAGAAAUAGCCACCCUGAGCACACGGCUGUUGAGAGGUAGAGUUCUCACUGUGUCAAAGUGGAAUAACUGAUAAGUUCUCGUAGGAAAAGGCUGUGUGGAAGAACUGCUUUUAAUUUCAAACUCUUAGCCACUUGUUUUUAUAAAUGUUCUCCAUGUAGCAGAACAUGACUUUGAUAAUGUCUAGACCUCUAGAUAAAAUGUUCCAGAACACAUACAAACCAUCAAGAUGAUUGACCCCGCUUAUCAAGGAAAAAUAGCUAUUUUGUCUCACAUUUUCCGGACAAAUUUAGAAAGGAAGAAAAGUAGCAAACGUUGCCGGUUCCAUAACAGUACAGACUCUUACUCACUAAUAUUAAGUGAAAACUCAGUUUAUACCCUUUUAAGAAGUAUUAGAUCCCUGAUGUGAUAACUCUUGGACAAGAAGGCUGGAGGCUCAGAUAACUCAGUCAUGUCAUAGCAUGAUUAACAAUUUUAUUUUUCUACAAGCCUAUACUUCAGUAAGUCAACCAUUUAUUUAUGGUAAAAAAGGAAAUUAUAAUAAUACUGAAGCCAUAUGCAACUCUUAUUCAAAAUUAAGAAACUGAGGGGUACCUGGGUAGCUCAAUCAGUCAAGCCUCUGACUUCGGCUCAGGUCAUGAUCUCAUGGUUUGUGAGUUCGAACCCCACACUGGGCUGUCUGCUGUCAGCAUGGAGCCUGCUUUGGACCCUCUGUCCCCUUUCUCUCUGCCCCUCGCCCACUUGGACUCUCUCUCUUUCUCAAAAAUAAAUAAAAACCUUAAAAAAAUUAAGAAA